UCUAUAAGCCAGGCUCGUUGUCAUGUAAAUGAUAUCGCUCAAUAUCAAAACACUCAUACCACUCUAAGCACAGGAUCUCUCAAAUAGUUUGAUUUGUGUCAGGCAGUAAGAGGGUUGUUUGAUUGGUGAUUAUGUACAGAACAGAACAGCCUGUUUCAUUGGCUUUCCUGUUUUAUGAGCAAAUCUUUGAUUUGCAGGACUGAUUCCUCCAAAAAUGGAUCAGAGGAUUCUGAUCUCCUGUCACGCCGCUGGAUAAUAGCUGAUCUGGAGAGGCUUGGAAUACCAUAGGCUUCUUUGAAUGAACCGGUCAUCUGCUACAUACUGGACGGAGUCCUGAUUCUCUACUCCAUCAUCACCACCGUUCUAUUCUUCAAAGUGAAGUGGGGCCAGUCUGUAACUGAACCUGUGGAGGACUCCACAUAUGCAG